CUUAAUGGUGAUACUGAGGAGCUCUGGGGGAGAGGCCGCAUGGAGCAGCUGCUCUCCAAGCUGGGUGCUCACCUCCCCAUCCAUCGCAGCUGCUUCUUUUGGAGAGAGCCACCACAGAUCAGGCACAUGAUGAAAUCUCUGGAGGGGCUGGAGCUACCCACAGCCUGGUGAUGGGGAGCUGAGAUGGAGCAGCUGCCAGGGACCCACAGCUGUCACCCUGAAACCCUCAGCACCCCCUGGCUCUGCUGGAGAACUGUUUGGAAACCUCAGGGUGGGAACAAGCCGCAGUGGCAGGGGGCACUGUGUGUUAGUCGAGGUUCGCAUUGCUCCUCUAAUCCUUUGCUCAGUGAAAGGCUUGGAUCCUCCCUUUGAUUGCUGGGAUGCUGCAGUGUGCUGCAAAUAUGUUGCUGGACUUGAGUUAUAUCUGACACCAGAGUCCAUCAGACAAAGUCCUUACAAACACAGGAGUCCUGAAGACAUCAGCUGAAUGUUUUUCCUGGUAUAAAGAAGAAGGGGAGGAGGAAGAGGUGGUGACAGUGCGGAUGCAGUGGGGUUGGAUGGGGACUGAGGACAUGGUGGAAGGAGAGAGGUCGGUAUGUUUGUAGCAAUGUUUUUAAAUUAUUUUUUAUUUUGUUCAUUUGUUCUCUUUUUUU